rnacentral:misc_RNA from 1 species
AAGUCGUAACAAGGUUUCCGUAGGUGAACCUGCGGAAGGAUCAUUACAGGGUUAUGCCGAGCAACCUUUUCAGCUUCUCUCUGAAGCCCGGAGGGGCUCUGGCAGCCACGAUCAUCCACUGUGUGCACUCAUUGAACCAUGCUUUGGCAGACUCCUUUUCUCUCCUCGUCUACGUGGCGGGGGGGGGGGAAAGCCCCUGGGCGGCCCUCCAAGGCCCCCAACGGUCUGCCAGAGUUUUUACUUAAAUAUAGCCUGAUUGCCUGCCUGAAUAUUUUUGAUCGAAACAAAAAUACAACUUUCAACAACGGAUCUCUUGGCUCUC